GCCAUCGGCACCCACCCCUAGACCCUAAUUCUGGUGGUUUCUCAACUUCAGCAGCCCAAUUCCCAAAGGCCCGUUGGUUCCGGCACGGUUAUCCCUGCCGGAUUCCCCGGCAGCAGGAAAUUUCCCCAUCAUCUGACUCACUGCAGCUUUAGAGGACAUGGGUAUGAGGGCUGUCGUAA